CAAACUAAAGAUGGCGACCGGCGCACGGGUGAGUAACACGUAUCCAACCUGCCGAUAACUCGGGGAUAGGCCUUUCGAAAGAAAGAUUAAUAUCCGAUAGUAUAUUUUCUCCGCAUGGCGAGAAUAUUAAAGAAUUUCGGUUAUCGAUGGGGAUGCGUUCCAUUAGUUUGUUGGCGGGGUAACGGCCCACCAAGACUACGAUGGAUAGGGGUUCUGAGAGGAAGGUCCCCCACAUUGGAACUGAGACACGGUCCAA
rnacentral:rRNA from 1 species